rnacentral:SRP_RNA from 1 species
CCGUGCUAGGCGGGGAAUUAGCGGUGCCCUGCACUCGCAAUCCGCUCUAGCGAGGCCGAAUUCCCGUUCGAGGGUCCGGCAUCUGGAGCCGGUUCGCCGAGGGCGGCGCUGACGGCCAGGUCCUGCGCAGUGGCGGCCUGUGAACCAGGUCAGGUCCGGAAGGAAGCAGCCUUAAGCGGUAGCCGCCAUGUGAUGCAGGCAAGCCUGGCUCGAGCCAACCGAGGAUGACCCGUCCAGGAGCUUCGUCUCGACGGCGGGUGCACGG